CCUACGGGUGGCAGCAGUGAGGAAUAUUGGUCAAUGGACGAGAGUCUGAACCAGCCAAGUAGCGUGAAGGAUGACUGCCCUAUGGGUUGUAAACUUCUUUUAUAUGGGAGUAAAAUGUUCCACGUGUGGGAUUUUGUAUGUACCAUAUGAAUAAGGAUCGGCUAACUCCGUGCCAGCAGCCGCGGUAAUACGGAGGAUCCGAGCGUUAUCCGGAUUUAUUGGGUUUAAAGGGAGCGUAGGUGGAUUGUUAAGUCAGUUGUGAAAGUUUGCGGCUCAACCGUAAAAUUGCAGUUGAAACUGGCAGUCUUGAGUACAGUAGAGGUGGGCGGAAUUCGUGGUGUAGCGGUGAAAUGCUUAGAUAUCACGAAGAACUCCGAUUGCGAAGGCAGUUCACUGGACUGCAACUGACACUGAGGCUCGAAAGUGUGGGUAUCAAACAGGAUUAGAUACCCUAGUAGUC
rnacentral:rRNA from 1 species